GUUAUGAUCAAGUUUUACUUUUGAAAAUCCCUUUUUGAGAAACACUGCAAGCAAGACACUGUUUAGGUCAUCCAUCAAGUCAUUCCUCAAGUCAUCUCUCAGGUCAUCGCAUCCAAGUCAUCAUUGCUACAGAUUGGUACAAGAGUUUGUUACACACACACAAACACUUUACUGAUAUUGAUUGAAUCGAACUGAAUGUUUGAAUGAACUGAGAGUGUCAAUUUAAACUGUGACUGGUAUAACUGAGUCAAAAGGAAACUGAAUCAUUGAUUCAUAAGAAUCAUUUGAGUGAAGUCACGAGUGUUUUCUAUUUGAAGUGAGUUAUUUGGAGUGAAUCAUUUGUGAACUGAUUGUUAUUCUAGACGUGUCAUACACAGGUUUGAUGGUUAAACAAUUGGUGGUGCACCACAGGUAAAGUUUAUAGUGACAACUUUAUUUGAUUAAUCUGUUUUAUUUAAUUUUUUUUUACAUUAAUUUCAUGUCUUGUUCUGAUCUUCUUUUUUUUAUCCUACACUGCAGAAGAAAAAAGAGGCAUCAUAAAAAAGGAGAAAAAUAAAUCUGAUUAAAUGUUAAAUUAUAUCCUAAGAGUAUUAUUAUUGUUGAACUUACCUCUGUUAGGUACCGGGGCAGUGGGAAUAUGAAUUGUUACUGUUAUAUUGCCUCACAACACUGCA
ensembl:lncRNA